GACGAACGCUGGCGGCGUGCUUAACACAUGCAAGUCGAACGGAAAGGCCCUGCUUUUGUGGGGUGCUCGAGUGGCGAACGGGUGAGUAACACGCGAGUAACUUGCCCUUGACUUUGGGAUAACUUCAGGAAACUGGGGCUAAUACCGGAUAGGAGCUCCUGCUGCAUGGUGGGGGUUGGAAAGUUUCGGCGGUUGGGGAUGGACUCGCGGCUUAUCAGCUUGUUGGUGGGGUAGUGGCUUACCAAGGCUUUGACGGGUAGCCGGCCUGAGAGGGUGACCGGCCACAUUGGGACUGAGAUACGGCCCAGACUCCUACGGGAGGCAGCAGUGGGGAAUAUUGCACAAUGGGCGGAAGCCUGAUGCAGCAACGCCGCGUGCGGGAUGACGGCCUUCGGGUUGUAAACCGCUUUCGCCUGUGACGAAGCGUGAGUGACGGUAAUGGGUAAAGAAGCACCGGCUAACUACGUG
rnacentral:rRNA from 1 species